UGGAAUCACAUCAACUUCUAUUGUAAGACUAUUUUUCUCAAUCCUUACAAUGUUAAACUCAAUAAAGUAAGAAUAAAUAAAAGAAAUGAUGUAUUCAUUUCUUAAAAUAAGACAAACUCAACUAAAAAGAAACUUAAAAGUAGGAAAAGAAAAAUGUAGAUAGAUAUGCAUAAAUAACCCAUAUAAUCAAUAUAUUUAAUAUUGCAACAUUAAGAAAGAAACAAGAGAAAAUAAUUUUUAUUCUCCAGUUAUAUUUGGAUUGAAGAGUGUUUGUAAGUAAGUUAUAUUUUCU
rnacentral:lncRNA from 1 species